rnacentral:rRNA from 1 species
GACGAACGCUGGCGGCGUGCUUAACACAUGCAAGUCGAACGGAAAGGCCUGCUUUCCCUUGUGGAUUGCGGGUACUCGAGUGGCGAACGGGUGAGUAACACGUGAGUGAUCUGCCCCCAACUUGGGUAUAAGCCUGGGAAACUGGGUCUAAUUCCCGAUAGCACUGCAGGGUGGUGCCUGUGGUGGAAAACGAUUUUCACGUGGUUGGGAUUAGGCUGGCGGCGUUUUAGUUGGUGGGGGGGGUAUGGGCCACCAAAGGGGGGGACGGGUAGCCGGCCUGGGAGGGUGGACGGCAGCAGUGGGACUGAGACACGGCCCAGACGCGUACGGGCGGCAGCAGAGGGGAAUAAUGCGCAAUGGGCGGAAGCCAGAUGCAGCGACGCCGCGUGGGGGAUGACGGGCUUGGGGUUGUAAACUCCUUGCGACCGCGAGGAAGCCACCUGGUUGGAAGGGUGGUGACGGUAGUGGUAGAAGAAGCACCGGCUAACUACGUG